rnacentral:rRNA from 1 species
UAUCAGCUUGUUGGUAAGGUAAUGGCUUACCAAGGCUAUGACGGGUAUCCGGCCUGAGAGGGUGAACGGACACACUGGAACUGAGACACGGUCCAGACUCCUACGGGAGGCAGCAGUAGGGAAUAUUGCUCAAUGGGGGAAACCCUGAAGCAGCAACGCCGCGUGGAGGAUGAAGGUUUUAGGAUUGUAAACUCCUUUUGUUAGAGAAGAUAAUGACGGUAUCUAACGAAUAAGCACCGGCUAACUCCGUGCCAGCAGCCGCGGUAAUACGGAGGGUGCAAGCGUUACUCGGAAUCACUGGGCGUAAAGAGCGCGUAGGCGGGAUAGUCAGUCAGGUGUGAAAUCCUAUGGCUUAACCAUAGAACUGCAUUUGAAACUACUAUUCUAGAGUGUGGGAGAGGUAGGUGGAAUUCUUGGUGUAGGGGUAAAAUCCGUAGAGAUCAAGUAGGUAAUACUCAUUGCGAAGGCGACCUGCUG